rnacentral:rRNA from 1 species
AUCUACCUUUCACAGAGGGAUAGCCCAGAGAAAUUUGGAUUAAUACCUCAUAGUAUAGUACCUUGGCAUCAAGGAACUAUUAAAGAUUUAUCGGUGAAAGAUGAGCAUGCGUCCCAUUAGCUAGAUGGUAAGGUAACGGCUUACCAUGGCUACGAUGGGUAGGGGUCCUGAGAGGGAGAUCCCCCACACUGGUACUGAGACACGGACCAGACUCCUACGGGAGGCAGCAGUGAGGAAUAUUGGUCAAUGGGCGCAAGCCUGAUCCAGCCAUGCCGCGUGCAGGAAGAAGGUCCUAUGGAUUGUAAACUGCUUUUAUACAGGAAGAAACACCUCUACGUGUAGAGACUUGACGGUACUGUAUGAAUAAGGACCGGCUAACUCCGUGCCAGCAGCCGCGGUAAUACGGAGGGUCCAAGCGUUAUCCGGAAUCAUUGGGUUUAAAGGGUCCGUAGGCGGCCAAAUAAGUCAGUGGUGAAAGCCCAUCGCUCAACGAUGGAACGGCCAUUGAUACUGUUUGGCUUGAAUUAUUAGGAAGUAACUAGAAUAUGUAGUGUAGCG